rnacentral:sRNA from 1 species
ACAAAAACCAUGGGUUAUUGGUUCUCAUAAUCCCUUGGUUCCAGGUUCGACCCGAGCAGCGCGUAGCGAUGCGAGAGAACGGCGCCACGGGCGCCGGCCCGAAGGGUGAGCCGCUUCAGGGGCGAAUAAUCCUGGCGGGCCCAACA